GGUUCUGCUGCGGAGGAGACAAACGAUUGUGCUUCUUCAAACACCUUCAAGUGGGAACGCAAAAAUAUAGGCCGGGCCCGGCUCUGCCCACGUCACCUUGAAGUGACACGAAGCUGAAAACCAGAGCCGGGAUUUGAGAAGAACAACAGGGUGCUGCUGUGACAGCGUGCUCACAUGUCUGAGCUAAGCAGAAGCCCAUUUCCAACUGAAAUCAGCGGGAGAGCGUGGUGUGUUCCAGCAGCUUCGUCAGUAUUGGGUUCCGUAUAAGAUGCUAGUGCCUGGGAUGGAUUGAUGGUGGUAUCUUUAUGGCAAGUUAUCAUAUUUGGUCUGCGGAGCUAAAGCAACCCCUAAACUGGAGCUGUCUGCACUGCUUGAA
rnacentral:lncRNA from 1 species